rnacentral:rRNA from 1 species
AACGGCCGCGGUAUUUUGACCGUGCAAAGGUAGCAUAAUCAUUAGUCUUUUAAUAGAGGGCUGGUAUGAAGGGUUUGACGAGGUGUUGACUGUCUCAUUUAAUUUGAAUUUAGAAUUUACCUUUUUAGUCAAAAGGCUAAAAUUUUAUUGGAAGACGAGAAGACCCUAUAGAGCUUUAUAUUUAUUUUAUUAAUUAUUUUUUUGUUUAUAUUUAUUUAUUAUUAAAUAAAAUAUUGUGUUGGGGUGACAAAAAUAUAUAAUUAACUUUUUUAUUUAAAUUACAUUAAUAUAUGUAUAAUAGAUCCAAUUUUAUUGAUUGUUAGAAUAAGUUACCUUAGGGAUAACAGCGUAAUCUUCCUCCAGAGUUCAUAUUUACAGGAAGGCUUGCGACCUCGAUGUUGGAUUAAGAUGAUAAUUAGGUGUAGCCGCUUAAUGUAUAGGUCUGUUCGAC